rnacentral:lncRNA from 1 species
UUUACCUACUUCUUUUGCUUUCCAUUCUUUCUUUUCCUGCUUGCUGUGAAUAACCAUCAUCAGAGGAAACCUGGAGAUAAGGGAGAAGACAUGAGACUCUGGAACAUCCUAUGGGUGCUUUUUCUCUUGGUUUUCUCAUUCCUGCACUCUGUAUGAUAUUGGGUGAUGCCAAGAAGUGUGAUUAAGAAUCCUUCUGGCACAAGGCACUUGAGUUUGGACCUUAAAUCUAUCCCAUUACCUCUCCUUUUUAAAGCAAACAUGAGGUAGCUUUUGCAUUAAGUGCCAAUGACCAGCUUGCCUUUGAAGAUUUGAAUAGCAUCAGGU